CUACGGGUUGCUCCAGUGAGGAAUAUUGCACAAUGGGGGGAACCCUGAUGCAGCAACGCCGCGUGGAGGAUGACGCAUUUCGGUGUGUAAACUCCUUUUAUAUGUCAAGAAAAUGACGGUAGCAUAUGAAUAAGCACCGGCUAACUCCGUGCCAGCAGCCGCGGUAAUACGGAGGGGGCAAGCGUUACUCGGAAUCACUGGGCGUAAAGGACGCGUAGGCGGGUUGGAAAGUCAGGUGUGAAAUCCUACAGCUUAACUGUAGAACUGCACUUGAAACUUCUAAUCUAGAGUAUGGGAGGGGGAGAUGGAAUUAGUGGUGUAGGGGCAAAAUCCGUAGAUAUCACUAGGAAUACCUAAAGCGAAGGCGAUCUCCUGGAACAUUACUGACGCUAAGGCGUGAAAGCGUGGGGAGCAAACAGGAUUAGAUACCCCGGUAGUC
rnacentral:rRNA from 1 species